rnacentral:rRNA from 1 species
GCCCCUUUCCUAGCUAGACGAGUAGGCGGACGGGUGAGUAAUGUCUGGGAAACUGCCUGAUGGAGGGGGAUAACUACUGGAAACGGUAGCUAAUACCGCAUAACGUCUACGGACCAAAGUGGGGGACCUUCGGGCCUCAUGCCAUCAGAUGUGCCCAGAUGGGAUUAGCUAGUAGGUGGGGUAACGGCUCACCUAGGCGACGAUCCCUAGCUGGUCUGAGAGGAUGACCAGCCACACUGGAACUGAGACACGGUCCAGACUCCUACGGGAGGCAGCAGUGGGGAAUAUUGCACAAUGGGCGCAAGCCUGAUGCAGCCAUGCCGCGUGUAUGAAGAAGGCCUUCGGGUUGUAAAGUACUUUCAGCGGGGAGGAAGGUGUUGUGGUUAAUAACCACAGCAAUUGACGUUACCCGCAGAAGAAGCACCGGCUAACUCCGUGCCAGCAGCCGCGGUAAUACGGAGGGUGCAAGCGUUAAUCGGAAUUACUGGGCGUAAAGCGCACGCAGGCGGUCUGUUAAGUCAGAUGUGAAAUCCCCGGGCUCAACCUGGGAACUGCAUUUGAAACUGGCAGGCUUGAGUCUCGUAGAGGGGGGUAGAAUUCCAGGUGUAGCGGUGAAAUGCGUAGAGAUCUGGAGGAAUACCGGUGGCGAAGGCGGCCCCCUGGACGAAGACUGACGCUCAGGUGCGAAAGCGUGGGGAGCAAACAGGAUUAGAUACCCUGAUAGUCCACGCCGUAAACGAUGUCGACUUGGAGGUUGUGCCCUUGAGGCGUGCUUCCGGAGCUAACGCGUUAAGUCGACCGCCUGGGGAGUACGGCCGCAAGGUUAAACUCAAUGAAUUGACGGGGGCCCGCACAAGCGGUGGAGCAUGUGUUUAAUUCGAUGCAACGCGAGAUCCUUACCUGGUCUUGACAUCCAGAGAUCCUGCAGAG